AGAACGAACGCUGGCGGCAUGCCUAAUACAUGCAAGUCGAACGAUCCCUUCGGGGAUAGUGGCGCACGGGUGCGUAACGCGUGGGAAUCUGCCCUUGGGUUCGGAAUAACUUCGGGAAACUGAAGCUAAUACCGGAUGAUGACGAAAGUCCAAAGAUUUAUCGCCCAGGGAUGAGCCCGCGUAGGAUUAGCUAGUUGGUGGGGUAAAGGCUCACCAAGGCAACGAUCCUUAGCUGGUCUGAGAGGAUGAUCAGCCACACUGGGACUGAGACACGGCCCAGACUCCUACGGGAGGCAGCAGUAGGGAAUAUUGGACAAUGGGGGGCAACCCUGAUCCAGCAAUGCCGCGUGAGUGAUGAAGGCCUUAGGGUGUAAAGCUCUUUUACCCGAGAUGAUAAUGACAGUAUCGGAGAAUAAGCUACCGGCUAACGUCGCGCCAGCAGCCGC
rnacentral:rRNA from 1 species